UACCAGCUCUCCGAGUGGUAGGGAUGAUUAUUGGGCCUAAAGCGUCCGUAGCCGGCUUAGCAAGUCUCCUGUUAAAUUCAGCGACCUAAUCGUUGAGCCGCGGGAGAUACUACUAGGCUAGGAGGCGGGAGAGGUCAACGGUACUUCCGGGGUAGGGGUGAAAUCCUAUAAUCCCGGGAGGACCACCAGUGGCGAAGGCUGUUGACUAGAACGCGCUCGACGGUGAGGGACGAAAGCUGGGGGAGCGAACCGGAUUAGAUACCCGGGUAGUCCCAGCUGUAAACGAUGCGAGCUAGGUGUUGGGGUGGCUACGUGCCACUUCAGUGCCGCAGGGAAGCCAUUAAGCUCGCCGCCUGGGGAGUACGGCCGCAAGGCUGAAACUUAAAGGAAGUUGGCGGGGGAGCACCACAAGGCGUGAAGCUUGCGGUUC
rnacentral:rRNA from 1 species